AUUGAACGCUGGCGGCAUGCUUUACACAUGCAAGUCGAACGGUAACAGGCCGCAAGGUGCUGACGAGUGGCGAACGGGUGAGUAAUGCAUCGGAACGUGCCCAGUCGUGGGGGAUAACGCGGCGAAAGCUGCGCUAAUACCGCAUACGAUCUAUGGAUGAAAGCGGGGGACCGAAAGGCCUCGCGCGAUUGGAGCGGCCGAUGUCAGAUUAGGUAGUUGGUGGGGUAAAGGCUCACCAAGCCGACGAUCUGUAGCUGGUCUGAGAGGACGACCAGCCACACUGGGACUGAGACACGGCCCAGACUCCUACGGGAAGCAGCAGUGGGGAAUUUUGGACAAUGGGCGCAAGCCUGAUCCAGCAAUGCCGCGUGCAGGAAGAAGGCCUUCGGGUUGUAAACUGCUUUUGUACGGAACGAAAAGGCUCUGGUUAAUACCUGGGGCUCAUGACGGUACCGUAAGAAUAAGCACCGGCUAACUACGUGCCAGCAGCCGCCGUAAUAC
rnacentral:rRNA from 1 species